AGAAGGUGUGUCCACUAUUUUCCCAGUGGUGUAUGAAAGGCAGGCCAGCUCCUGAACCCCAACGUUGUUCCUCAAGUUUUUUUUGCCUGGUCUGUAUCAAAAGACAGAAUCUUGAUGACUAAGACAUUUUCUUUGGUACCUACAAGAAGGAUCCAGCUCUCUACUUCUAUCAGCUCCUGGAUGACUACAAGAAAGGGAACCUCCACAUCAUUCCAGACACUCCUCUGGCUGAGGAGAGAUCAGGAGAUGACAGUGAUGUGUUGAUAGACAGAGACAUCAUGGCCUCCAUGCAGAGGAAUGUGUGGAUGGACAUAUAUUUAAGGAAGACACUAAACCAGAAAAUACCACAUUACACCCUCUUAAAAGACUUCUAAGAUUGUUGUCAUGCCUACCACAGACAUUCAGAUGAUGUGUAUUCUUGAUUGUGAUUUCAUGUUUGGAGCUGAUGAAGGAGAAAGUACCUGGAAUGUCCUAGAAUUCUCAAGACCCAGGAGAUGAACAUAUGCCUGAGAAGAAGAACUAGUGUGGAACUGUCAGCCAGGUUUUUGAUGAGUGCUCAGACUGCUUCCUGAUCCGGCACCACAUUUACUAUAGUGGACAGAUGCUCUAGUCUCUGAUGAGGAGUUGCUAGCUGUUAGGAAAAACCUGGAAUGGGCUCCACUGCAUGAGGCUUGGUCGAAGCCUUCCCCACUAAUAACAAGAACACCCAUGCCAUGGGAAAGAAGAUAUUAGAGGAAAAUUUCCCAAGAUUUGGCAUCUCUAAGGUACUUUCAUCAGACAAUGGCCCCUCCUUCAUUGUCCAGAACCCCCUCUAGCUCACUUGAAGGCCCUACAAUUGGUCAGAAAAGAUGCCUUGGAAAUGCUGAAACACAAUAAAAAACAAAAACAAAAACAAAAAAACAAAAAAACAUACUAACCAGGAACCAUCUUCGUGCCACAUAAAUUUCAAACAGAAGAUCCUGUCCGGGUCUGGUGCCACCAUUCUGGCAAACUUGAACUCAGAUCAAAAGGAUGCUCCCUGGUGCUUCUGACAAGCCCUGCUGCCGCACCUCCAGCAUGUAACCGCUUCUGGCCUGCCAUGGCCCACUGGCCUGGCACUGCACAGGAUCCCCCCUUCUUCCCUCCUCCCACUGGCAAGAGUCUCUUUCGUCUCAUUCAAGGGGCUUCUGAGGUUCUCAAUCUUACAAAUCCUAAAGCUGUGACCUCAGGUUGGCUUUAUUUGGCAGCUGGGCCAGAGGUUUAAUUUUCUAACUUAUAAAAUUAGAACUAUGUACUAGAAGGAGUGGGAAAUGUGAGAACCCAACUUAGAGCAUUUCUCCCUGGAAGGUGAAGCCCCUGGACAUUCUCCAAGCUUGUAUUCCCUGAGCUCUAAAAAUACAGCCAGAAAGAAGCUCUAUGUUCUCUACAGCCACCAAAAAGCAUUUUGGUUUCUGAGCCUUACAGCUAGAGAUUCAAAAAUUGGAGUUUUGCCAAGGACAUCUGGGCAGAGAAGAACACUCCUCCGGACUCUUCCCAACUCUCCAAACUCUCCUCCCAACUCAUCUCAAUUCCUCAGGUAGCUAAUAAAAACCCUCUUCUGUC
rnacentral:lncRNA from 1 species